UAAGGAAUAUUGGUCAAUGGACGCAAGUCUGAACCAGCCAUGCCGCGUGAAGGAUUAAGGUCCUCAGGAUUGUAAACUUCUUUUAUCUGGGAAGAAACUCUCGAUUUCUAUCGGSAUUGACGGUACCAGAGGAAUAAGCACCGGCUAACUCCGUG
rnacentral:rRNA from 1 species